AUUGUUCUAACCCAGGAUUUGAGUUACAUAUUAUGGAAAUUACUGUAGCAGAAACCCCUUGUUGCUAGCCAGGCUGGGAGCAAGGGGAGGAGUUCACUGCAGUGUUAAAACCUAUAACCUGGCCCAAAGGGGCCGGGGUGGAGAUUGUGAUGGUUCUACCUUUAAAUUGUUGUAACCUGUGAUUUGAGUUGCAUGUUAUAGGAAUUACUACAGCAGGAACCACCCGAACCAAUGGAGGACAAGCCUUUCAAGAAGCAGUGCAAGUGCAGCAGUGACCCGACCUGAGCUGGCUUUGGUGCCCAGUAACUCCACGCAACACACCACCUCUCCUGUCCUGAGUGACCACAAGAACAGAUGGAGACCAAAGCUGUGGACUAAAUGAUAUCUGUGUAUUUUAUCAAAGGAUGGGAAGUAACCGUUACACGUGAUGGAGCCCUGCUUUCCUGGAGAUGACUGAACACCUGCCUGCCCGUGGGAAGUAGUGAAUGAAUUCCUUGUUUUGCUUUGCUUCUGUGUGCAGCUUUUGCUUUCGCUAUUAAACUGUCUUUAUCUCAA